rnacentral:rRNA from 1 species
AGUGAACGCUGGCGGUAGGCCUAACACAUGCAAGUCGAACGGCAGCACAGUAAGAGCUUGCUCUUACGGGUGGCGAGUGGCGGACGGGUGAGGAAUACAUCGGAAUCUACUUUUUCGUGGGGGAUAACGUAGGGAAACUUACGCUAAUACCGCAUACGACCUACGGGCGAAAGCAGGGGAUCUUCGGACCUUGCGCGAUUGAAUGAGCCGAUGUCGGAUUAGCUGGUUGGCGGGGUAAAGGCCCACCAAGGCGACGAUCCGUAGCUGGUCUGAGAGGAUGAUCAGCCACACUGGAACUGAGACACGGUCCAGACUCCUACGGGAGGCAGCAGUGGGGAAUAUUGGACAAUGGGCGCAAGCCUGAUCCAGCCAUACCGCGUGGGUGAAGAAGGCCUUCGGGUUGUAAAGCCCUUUUGUUGGGAAGGAAAAGCAGCAGGUUAAUACCCCGCUGUUCUGACGGUACCCAAAGAAUAAGCACCGGCUAACUUCGUG